CGACUGCAGCUGGAAUAGGGUGGUAGGAGGAAACCAGAACAGUCUCUGCUCACCUGAAACCCAUCAGCAGAAGCUUUUCCUCGGGAUCUGUAGCCCACAUUACUGGGGUGGAAUGUUUGCUAAUUGCCUGUGCUUUAAAAUACAGAUGGCUGAGGAAGCAAAAGCAAAGCCAGAUUUCUAGUUGAAGCUGCUUGGGAGCAGCAGCAUGCAGUGUGGAGGUAGGAAUGAGCCUGAUGUAUUCCAGGGGUUUCCAGCAAACGAAAGAAGUGAGAUGUCAAGGUCUUUUACAGCCACAGAAAUGCCAUCCAAGGUAAAUAAUGGGGAUGUGAUUCUAAGGACUUAUGAAAGAUCCAGUAGUCACCAGCUAAACCCAAUCACAAAAAGAACAGAGCUACUCCAGCAAGUGAAGUGCCUGCAACAGCCUGGAAGGAGAAUGGCAAUAAUGAAAACCUGAAAGCAACAACUUCAUACAGGAGUAAACGAAGAGGCAGGCUCUUUGUAAAUGAUGAUCUAAAAAGUGUUCUGGGUUGUGAGACCUCAUUUCAAAUGUAUUCAUUAAAUAAUAUUUGAACCAUUUAACAGUU